GAUACAAAUUUAAAGAAGAAAAAACAUGGCGGACAGCCACUAGCUCAAUCCACAUAAAACAAUACACAAACAUUUCAAAGCAAGGUAAACAGACUAAUAUAUUGUUUACACGCUAUACUCUUUUUAACAAACACAUGUUUUAGCUGGUAAUUUAGCUAGCAUUUAUUGAUGAUGAUGUAUUUAUAAUCAGGCCAACGAUAGAUGGCGAAAAUUAAGUCUUCCCGUUAGCGUGCUGUGUUGACGGAGCUAGCUAUCUGUUGUUCGAGCAUGCCCAUGUUAUUAGCUUGGAGGAAAAAGGAGGGAGCUGGUCGACUUCCCCUUGACGCAACGAAAAAGGCGCACUUCUAUUGAGAGAACCAACUGAAUACACUUUUGAAGACUGUUAUGAUCUUAAGUGAGCCCUGAGUGUGUUUGGGUGGGUGCCCGAGGUCUGCUGACAGCUGGGGCCACAUCUUUGUUGUACCCUGUCGUCUGCCUCCAACGCCAACCCCCUGCCUGGCCGACAGAAGUGGAGAGCGUUAAGCGCAAUCCGUGGGGAAGUCAACCUGAGCAUCCACAAAUGAAAGAGUGGACUAUUGUGUCUUGAACUUAGUAUUACUGGAGCAUGAAGAAACCAGUGCCACAAAAAGCUAUUGAGUGGAGAGAUGGCAGGCGGAUCAAGCAUGCCCGAAGUGGCCGUCCAUCCCGGGUCCCAUCGCAGUACCAAGGAGGGCACUUCAGUUGGGACAAAUACCUAAAGGAAACAGGUGCUAGUGCUGCACCUGCCCACUGCUUCAGACAGGGUGCAACACCUCCAGUGAAUGAGUUCAAGGCGGGCAUGAAGCUGGAGGCGCAGGACCCUCGGAAUACAACGUCAACCUGCAUUGCAACAGUGGUGGGCCUGACGGGAUCGCGGCUGCGUCUGCGCCUUGACGGCUCCGACAACAAGAACGACUUCUGGCGCCUGGUGGACUCGUCUGAAAUCCAGCCUAUCGGCAACUGCGAGAAGAACACGGGCAUGCUGCAGCCGCCAUUGGGCUUCCGUCUGAACGCAUCCUCCUGGCCCAUGUUCCUUCUAAAAACACUAAACGGAGCCGAAAUGGCCCCAGCACGCAUCUUUCACAAGCAGGAGCCCCCGGUCCCAGAGCAGAACUCCUUCCAGGUGGGCAUGAAGCUGGAGGCAGUGGACCGCAAGAACCCCCACUUCAUCUGCCCGGCCACGGUGGGGGCGCUGCGUGGCGUGGAGGUGCUCGUCACCUUCGACGGCUGGCGGGGUGCUUUCGACUACUACUGCCGCUACGACUCCCGGGACAUCUUCCCUGUGGGCUGGUGCUCUCUCACCGGGGACAACCUGCAGCCGCCUGGCACUAAAGCAGUGCUACCCAAGACCCUCGGUUGCCUUUCAGACGGUAGCGAGGGAACAGCCAUGCCAGGACAGCUGCCUGGCCAACGGGGACGCAAGCCAGGCUGCAGGAAAGCCAAGCUGACAGGGCCCUGGGGGCAGAAGGGGGCCGGAGUAGGACCACAGGCCCCCCCGCCCGGAAAGGGACUGGAGCCUAUCAAGGUCCCCAAGAAAAGAGGCCCCAAACCGGGGAGUAAGUUGGGCUGGGCAAAGAGAGAAGGCUGGCUGGAAGGUGCCAUGGCAGGCCCAGGGCGACCCGUGUCCCGGCCCAGAGGGAGGCUGCCAGCCAACUGGGCCCAGAGGAUGGCACUGCAGGAGGGACAAGUGGAGUCUAUCAAGAUCCCCAAAAAGAGAGGGCCCAAGCCCGGCAGCAAGAGAAAACAGCGGGUGGUGCCCAACCCCGUGCCCGUUUCCCCCAACAGCAGUAUGCCAGAGCCAGACACCAGCACGGUGCCUCUGGACAACGCCACCAUCCCCAGCGCCGCCUUGCAUGCUGCCACAGUGUGUGUCUACCUGAACAAGUAUGGGAAGGUGGGACCCCACUUGGACGGGCGGCGGGUGCAGCAGCUGCCCGACCACGUUGGUCCAGGCCGGGCUUCCUCGGUGCUACAGCAGUGUGUCCAGGCCUGUGUGGACUGUGCCCACAACCAGAGCUCUGUCUUCUCCUGCCUCAAGCCAGGUCACGGAGGAGAGGUCAUAUCAGCCCACUUCGACCACCAGCACCAUACCCUCACCCUACCCACGGUCAACAGCGUCACGCACGUCCUGCACUUCCUGGAGAAACUCUGUCACAACCUCUACUGUGACCCUCUGUUUGGGAGCCAGCCCAUCCCUAGAGGGGGCCUGCAUUACGACAGCCAUGCCUACCCAGAAAGGAGAAGUUUUAGGGAGGGCCUCAUGACGGGUCCAGGAAGAAGCUCCAAUCGGUUCCUUCAAGAAUCCUACUACAGCCCCCUCCCCCACAAGCUGGCCAAAAACCUCUGCCUCUCCUCGGAAGAUUUAGAAUGUCUCAAUAUCAAAUGGGCAGGGGGAAAAGUACAUGUCAUCUGUAUGCACUCGAAUGGAGGCCGUGCACUUUCCCGCCAAUACGUUUUUGAUGCCUGCCCCUCUGCACGCUCUAGAAAGGAAUAAAGGAGAGACGGGAGGAGAUGGAAACGCAUGGUGGUGAGGUAGUAUGUAUAGCGAAAGGUAAUAUCACCCAAUUUAGUUAUGAAAAUAUAAAAAUUCCCUAUUAACUGGAUAAUCAAAUACAAAUUCACUCUAAUUAUAGGCUUAUCUGUAAACAGCCCUGCACAACCCUCAGUAUCGCCUAGGGCUAUAUAUUCUCUCCCAGACUCGUUGAUAGACAUUUUGGAGCGUCCAUAAGGUAACCAGUCCAUCCAGUAUGCAUAAUAAUACAGUCCACACUCAAAGGCGAUUACUCACAUUUGUAUAGGCUAGACCAAUUAUGUACCAAAGACAUCUUAAAUCAGUUUUGUUUUAUGUUUUUUUGCCAUGUGUAACAUGUGGUAGGCUAUGUAUUGUGUAACGGCACAAUCAUAAUUUUAAUUCAGGUAUUUUUCGGGCUUGGGCUCAUAAACGAAUGCAUAUGUAUAAGCUCUAAAAUGCGUAUUGGUGUUUUGAAUGAAUCAUCACCUUAGAAGCGCUAUCCAUUUUGUUAUGUUAGGCUUUGAAACAACAUCCACAACAACAACGUUUUACACUCAGUUUCAACCUGCUGUUGAACUUCUUUCUUCAAAUUGAUCAUCACAGUGAGGUGAGUUUUAUUAAAAGCAUAAUACUGUUUUUAUAGCAAGUGUUUGAUGUGAUUUUCGAUAUCAUUUGCAUUUAUGUCAGAGUGGUUAGAGGGACACUAGGGCCCUGAGUACCAGGCCAUUAGGACAUAAGAGAUUACCAAGACUCAACAGUCGCAUGGAAUUUUACUGCGGUCAGACCUCAAGACUGCCGGUAUAGCGGUAAUACGGUCACCGCAACAGCCCUGAGUGUAGCCAGUAAUGUCCCACUAAGCAAACUUUUUGACUACAGUUAAACUACAGGCUACAGGUGUGCCACUUGGGCCUUGUCAUUGACUCUCCUCCAUGUUGUUCCAGGUGAGCCUUUCCUCAUGGAGAAUGGUGUAGGGGGGUCGGAGCACUUAAAGAAGAGCCCCCUGUCCCCGGGCUCGACAGGGCAGCCUCUGGGCCUGCGGUUCCCCACCAAGUUGCUACAUCUUAACUCUUCAGGCUCUGAGCGUUUCAGAGAGUGCCCCCGGCCCAGUGGCCAGGACCCCAACCUGUGGACGGUAGAGGACGUCAUGCAGUUCAUCAGAGACAUAGACCCUCUACUGGCCCCCCACGCAGAUCUCUUCAGAAAACAC